UUUGAUCUUUAAUAGUCGAAAGUUGCAGAAUUUUAAAUUAAGUAAAAAUAGAAAAUUAUGAUAAAUAUGAUUGGAUUGAGCAUUUUAUGGAAAUGGAGAAGAUGUAGUUAUUCGAGACACAGAAAUUGCACAACUGAAUGCUGUAAAUAGCGGUGAUAAAUUGCGAGCAGAUCGCGGAGAGAGUGAUUGAUGACAGAGAGGAUCAAGAGAUCGCCGGAGAGGAUAUUAAGAAUCAGGAAGGUUACCGGAUCGUUCAUUUAUUAUCACAUACAUAACUACAAUAAAGAAAAUGGUGAUUGAGAUAUCGAUCGAGUUUCUGUGAACAGGUCAAGGUCAUUGGUGUGGUGUCCCUUGCAGUAAAUAUUCACUAAUUGUGCCAUCUAGCGAUGUUAAAUACCGUUAUCGAUAACAUUUACUCGAAACAUAAAAGCAGAA